GAGACACCUUUAUGGAGCAGGGCUUGAUACAGUGGGGCUUUGAUGCUCACUGGGUCUGCCCCUUAAGAGUGUCACU
rnacentral:pre_miRNA from 1 species